rnacentral:rRNA from 1 species
AGAGUUUGAUCCUGGCUCAGGACGAACGCUGGCGGCGCGCCUAACACAUGCAAGUCGAACGGAGUUUACAGGCGGAAGUUUUCGGAUGGAAGUUUGUAAACUUAGUGGCGGACGGGUGAGUAACACGUGAGCAACCUGCCUAUCAGAGGGGGAUAACGAUUGGAAACGAUCGCUAAUACCGCAUGACAUAGCGGAACCGCAUGGUUCUGUUAUCAAAGAUUUUAUCGCUGAUAGAUGGGCUCGCGUCCGAUUAGAUAGUUGGUGGGGUAACGGCCUACCAAGUCGACGAUCGGUAGCCGGACUGAGAGGUCGAACGGCCACAUUGGGACUGAGACACGGCCCAGACUCCUACGGGAGGCAGCAGUGGGGGAUAUUGCACAAUGGGGGAAACCCUGAUGCAGCGACGCCGCGUGAGGGAAGACGGUCCUCUGGAUUGUAAACCUCUGUCUUCGGGGACGAAACGAGACGGUACCCGAGGAGGAAGCCACGGCUAACUACGUGCCAGCAGCCGCGGUAAUACGUAGGUGGCAAGCGUUGUCCGGAAUUACUGGGUGUAAAGGGAGCGUAGGCGGGCAGGCAAGUCAGGCGUGAAAUAUAUCGGCUCAACCGGUAACGGCGCUUGAAACUGCAGGUCUUGAGUGAAGUAGAGGUUGGCGGAAUUCCUAGUGUAGCGGUGAAAUGCGUAGAUAUUAGGAGGAACACCAGUGGCGAAGGCGGCCAACUGGGCUUUUACUGACGCUGAGGCUCGAAAGUGUGGGGAGCAAACAGGAUUAGAUACCCUGGUAGUCCACACCGUAAACGAUGAUUACUAGGUGUGGGGGGGACUGACCCCUUCCGUGCCGGAGUUAACACAAUAAGUAAUCCACCUGGGGAGUACGGCCGCAAGGUUGAAACUCAAAGGAAUUGACGGGGGCCCGCACAAGCAGUGGAGUAUGUGGUUUAAUUCGA